UUUAAUCUCUCACCCUCAAUUGGGGAUGAGGAACUGAACAAUCCGCUGGCACUGAAUUGUCUUGCGCGAUUUAGUGAUUGACGCGGUUGUUUGAAAUGUAUAGCUGAGCGGUAUUGACCACUGCUUAAGAUGACUAGGCGUAUUAGUUUCCCAUUUGGGAAUCCACUCGUGCGCCGGUGUAUUGGUCUCUCUAGCCUUUGUGUUGGUUGAUCGCUAUGCUUUCUAAAUGCUCUUGAAGUAUUUACCUAGUUUGGCUUGCGGUUAGCAUACCGAACUUGA
rnacentral:misc_RNA from 1 species